rnacentral:rRNA from 1 species
AUUGAACGCUGGCGGCGUGCCUAAUACAUGCAAGUCGAGCGAAUGGAUUAAGAGCUUGCUCUUAUGAAGUUAGCGGCGGACGGGUGAGUAACACGUGGGUAACCUGCCCAUAAGACUGGGAUAACUCCGGGAAACCGGGGCUAAUACCGGAUAACAUUUUGAACCGCAUGGUUCGAAAUUGAAAGGCGGCUUCGGCUGUCACUUAUGGAUGGACCCGCGUCGCAUUAGCUAGUUGGUGAGGUAACGGCUCACCAAGGCAACGAUGCGUAGCCGACCUGAGAGGGUGAUCGGCCACACUGGGACUGAGACACUGCCCAGACUCCUACGGGAGGCAGCAGUAGGGAAUCUUCCGCAAUGGACGAAAGUCUGACGGAGCAACGCCGCGUGAGUGAUGAAGGCUUUCGGGUCGUAAAACUCUGUUGUUAGGGAAGAACAAGUGCUAGUUGAAUAAGCUGACACCUUGACGGUACCUAACCAGAAAGCCACGGCUAACUACGUGCCAGCCGCCGCAGUAA